rnacentral:rRNA from 1 species
CAGCAGCCGCGGGAAUACGAAGGGGGCUAGCGUUGUUCGGAAUUACUGGGCGUAAAGGGCGCGUAGGCGGCCAUUCAAGUUAGAUUUGAAAGCCCUGGGCUCAACCUAGGAAUUGCAUUUGAUACUGUUUGGCUUGAGUUCGGGAGAGGUGAGUGGAAUUCCCAGUGUAGAGGUGAAAUUCGUAGAUAUUCGGAAGAACACCAGUGGCGAAGGCGACAUACUGGAUCAUUACUGACGCUGAGGCUCGAAAGCGUGGGGAGCAAACAGGAUUAGAUACCCCCGUAGUCCCUGUCUCUUAUAC